GUGGUAGCCUAGUGGUUAGGCGUCGGACUCACGACUGAAAGGUCGGGGGUUCGAUUCCCCACCCAC
rnacentral:tRNA from 1 species